GACGAACGCUGGCGGCGUGCUUAACACAUGCAAGUCGAACGAAGAGCGACGGAAGCUUGCUUCUAUCAAUCUUAGUGGCGAACGGGUGAGUAACGCGUAAUCAACCUGCCCUUCAGAGGGGGACAACAGUUGGAAACGACUGCUAAUACCGCAUACGAUCUAACCUCGGCAUCGAGGAUAGAUGAAAGGUGGCCUCUACAUGUAAGCUAUCACUGAAGGAGGGGAUUGCGUCUGAUUAGCUAGGUGGAGGGGUAACGGCCCACCAAGGCGAUGAUCAGUAGCCGGUCUGAGAGGAUGAACGGCCACAAUGGGACUGAGACACGGCCCAGACUCCUACGGGAGGCAGCAGUGGGGAAUCUUCCGAAAUGGACGAAAGUCUGACGGAGCAACGCCGCGUGAGUGAUGACGGCCUUCGGGUUGGAAAGCUCUGUUAAUCGGGACGAAAGGCCUUCUUGCGAAUAGUGAGAAGGAUUGACGGUACCGGAAUAGAAAGCCACGGCUAACUACGUG
rnacentral:rRNA from 1 species